UCUCCUAUUCCCAACUUUUCAAAAAUAGACAAGGGCAUUAAGUUAAUGCUCGCUCCGAGAUCACACAAAGCUUUAGUAAAAUUAAGAUCCCCAAUAGCACAUGGAAUAGUAAAGCUCCCUGGAUCUUUGAUUUUAGGAGGCAAUUUGUUCUGGAGAAUGGCGCUACACUCUUCCGUCAACAUCACCGUUUCAUGCUCUUCAAGUUUCCUUUUGUUAGAAAGGAUAUCUUUCAUGAACUUCGCAUAACUCGGCAUUUGAGCCAGAGCAUCUGCAAACGGAAUGUUAAUGUGUAGCUUUUUAAACACCUCCAAAAACUUACCAAAUUGAAUAUCCAGUUUAUGCUUCUGGAGCCUUUGAGGGAAAGGAAUAGGAGGUACAUA
rnacentral:lncRNA from 1 species